CAAGGAAGGCCUUUGACCACAAAUGCUGGGGUCAUCUCACGAGCUACCGUUUGCCUUCUCAGCACAUGACAGCAAGUUUGGAGGCAGCCUGGUGAGCAGCCAAGAGCAGCAGUGGUUACGCCUAGGGAAGAGCAUGAGUUAGAACAUCAGCAUUACUUCUUUCCAGCCAUGGGAGCUUGGGCUGGUAAGUUUACCUUCCCAAGCCUCAGUCUCCUGAUCUCUAAAAUGAGAAUAAUCAUAAAAUGGGCCUCAAAGAAUUGUUAAAGGAUUGAAUGAACUUCUUAUGUCAUGCCUGGCAUAUUUGGCACUCAGUAAAUGGGAGCUACCUAUCAUCUCAGAGGAGAGUGCUUAGCCCUUAAGUUGCUCUUUUUAAGCUCGGGCACAUUCACUCACUCAUUGUAUCCUCCCAGAUUGGAAGGGUUGGGCACAAGAGGAGCUCCCCAAGACAGGUGCUCCCUGGUCUCUAGCCCUCUUUAUGGAGAGAUAGUGCACCCAGUACCUCCUUAAGACAAAUACUCCCCACCACCCAGCCUCUUGUCUGGCACCGGAGCAGAAUUGUCAGGGAGUGUGAGUAAGCAGCCGGCAAGAACCCUCACUGUCUGGAGGCAUAUCCACACCUGAAAUCUCUUAUCAGAGAACAUUGAGGUUUACUGCAACUGAAGGGCCUUGUGCUGGUAUCAGAGUGCUGCCUUUCUAACAUAAUCACUUCUCUCUUGUACCUUCUAGAUGUCUAAGUAGGAAGAUCUUCAUAAAUAUUUCGCACACCAUGUUAGAACCUUUAAAUCUGUUUGAACUGGAUUCUUGUUAGGAAGAAAUUCAUUUCUAAUUUAAUUUUAAUUUUUUUGGCAUGUUUACUCCAUCAAACAAUUAUCCUGCCUAACAAAUUAUGUAAAAAAAAAAAGUUAAAAAUAAGGGAGUCACAUGACCUUUGAAGUUAGAAAAUAAAUCAGAGAAGAAUAAAAAGGGGAAUGAAUUGUUCUAAGUAUAUCAGAAAGGCUUUAUGUGUUCAGAAACUCAUUUACUUUUCUCCAAAUCAAUAUGCAGUGCUCAGCACAGAGAACUAUCAGAGAACUAUUGAAUAUAAAGCACAGAAGAUAACAG
rnacentral:lncRNA from 10 species